rnacentral:rRNA from 1 species
GUGGGGAAUUUUGGACAAUGGGCGCAAGCCUGAUCGAGCCAUGCCGCGUGCAGGAUGAAGGCCUUCGGGUUGUAAACUGCUUUUGUACGGAACGAAAAGACUCUGGUUAAUACCUGGGGUCCAUGACGGUACCGUAAGAAUAAGCACCGGCUAACUACGUGCCAGCAGCCGCGGUAAUACGUAGGGUGCGAGCGUUAAUCGGAAUUACUGGGCGUAAAGCGUGCGCAGGCGGUUAUGUAAGACAGAUGUGAAAUCCCCGGGCUCAACCUGGGAACUGCAUUUGUGACUGCAUAGCUAGAGUACGGCAGAGGGGGAUGGAAUUCCGCGUGUAGCAGUGAAAUGCGUAGAUAUGCGGAGGAACACCGAUGGCGAAGGCAAUCCCCUGGGCCUGUACUGACGCUCAUGCACGAAAGCGUGGGGAGCAAACAGGAUUAGAUACCCCUGUAGUCC